UAGGCAGAAUGAGGGGGAAAAAACAUUGCGAAAAUAAAGGAUGUUACGCCAGAUUUAUGUGGUGUCUGGGAGUUCGAACCGCUUUCCAGAGUGACAUACGAAUCGAUCAACGAGAGAAAUCGAGAAUUCUACCAGUGAACAUAAUAUCUGGAGUGGAGACCUCCGUUUCAACAGUAUGCCAUUAUGGAUUUCUUCUUGCAUCUGAAUGACGGCCAACUGCUGAAGGGCAAGCACGCUUGCACCAAGACAAAGUCUGGGAGGUGAGGGGAGGAGCAGGAUAUAUGCAUGAAGUCUGUGUCCCGGAUGAGCCCUUGAAUUACUGGAGCCGCCUCAGCAUUUGAAGCAUCGCUGUUGGAACUGUGAUUGCCUGGUUUGAUGUAGGCAAAGUGACGCCUGAUUAAGGAUGGAGCCGAAAUGAAAAUGGUCAUUCUAUUCUGUGCAUAUGUAAAGGCUGGUGAAUAAUGCACAAGACCUGCGGGACAUGGAGGAGAAUGGGUAAUGGAGUGGACUGGAUGAGAUCAGGCAUCUGCCCUAAAUUCACAUAAAAACAGCUUUGGACACUCAGACAUUAGGACCAAAUGGAGAUCUCUUUCAGAAAAACUAAAAGUGGCUUUGCAUGGCAGACUGGGAUCUUUUAAACUCUGGUGUGUGUUUGUGGAGAUUUGUUUAAAAAAUUCUGCAGCCACUGACUUCCGGUUUUAAAGAAAGGGCUGUUUUUUCCCCCACAUGCAGAUUAUCUGCUUGCAUGUCGUGUCAUUUCACAACUAAAAUGGAUUCUCAUAUCCCUCAGGGAUUUAGCGGUUUCCUUCCAGAGAUUCUUACUGCAUUCUGCCAGUUUAUGGUUCCAACCUUGCAUUUUUCCACAGUAGCAGAAAGACAAGAGACUUUCAACUGCUGGGUGUGGUGUUCUUUCUCCUCUCAUUUUCUCUACUGUAGUCCCAGUGAGAGCCCCUGCUUGACGGGACAAGCAUGAAAGGAAUGUAACAUCUCCACCAUUGGCCUCGUCUCUGAUGAAUGGCG